UACGGGGGGGGCAAGCGUUGUUCGGAAUUACUGGGCGUAAAGGGCUCGUAGGCGGCCAACUAAGUCAUACGUGAAAUCCCUCAGCUUAACUGGGGAACUGCGUGUGAUACUGGAUGGCUUGGAUUUGGGAGAGGGAUGCGGAAUUCCAGGUGUAGCGGUGAAAUGCGUAGAUAUCUGGAGGAACACCGGUGGCGAAGGCGGCAUCCUGGACCAAUAUUGGCGCUGAGGAGCGAAAGCCAGGGGAGCAAACGGG
rnacentral:rRNA from 1 species